rnacentral:tRNA from 1 species
GGAAUGUGGCUCAAGCGGUAGUGCGUCGCCUGGCAUGCGUGCGGCCCGGGUUCGAUCCUCAGCACCA